rnacentral:rRNA from 1 species
CGGCCUACGGGGCGCAGCAGUGGGGAAUAUUGCACAAUGGGGGAAACCCUGAUGCAGCGACGCCGCGUGAGUGAAGAAGUAUUUCGGUAUGUAAAGCUCUAUCAACAGGGAAGAAAAUGACGGUACCUGACUAAGAAGCCCCGGCUAACUACGUGCCAGCAGCCGCGGUAAUACGUAGGGGGCAAGCGUUAUCCGGAUUUACUGGGUGUAAAGGGAGCGUAGACGGCAGAGCAAGUCUGAAGUGAAAGCCCGCGGCCCAACUGCGGGACUGCGUUGGGAACUGUUUUGCUG